rnacentral:rRNA from 1 species
UGCAAGUCGAGCGGUAAGGCCCUUCGGGGUACACGAGCGGCGAACGGGUGAGUAACACGUGGGUGACCUGCCCUCCACUUCGGGAUAAGCCUGGGAAACUGGGUCUAAUACCGGAUAGGACCAUUCCGCGCAUGUGGGGUGGUGGAAAGUUUUUUCGGUGGGGGAUGGGCCCGCGGUCUAUCAGCUUGUUGGUGGGGUGAUGGCCUACCAAGGCGACGACGGAUAGCCGGCCUGAGAGGGUGAUCGGCCACACUGGGACUGAGACACGGCCCAGACUCCUACGGGAGGCAGCAGUGGGGAAUCUUGCGCAAUGGGCGGAAGCCUGACGCAGCAACGCCGCGUGGGGGAUGACGGCCUUCGGGUUGUAAACCUCUUUCGCGAUCGACGAAGGUCCACUUUUUGUGGGUUGACGGUAGGUCGAGAAGAAGCACCGGCCAACUACGUGCCAGCAGCCGCGGUAAUACGUAGGGUGCGAGCGUUGUCCGGAAUUAUUGGGCGUAAAGAGCUCGUAGGCGGUGUGUCGCGUCGGCCGUGAAAACCUGGGGCUCAACUCUGGGCGUGCGGUCGAUACGGGCAUCACUUGAGUUCGGCAGGGGAGACUGGAAUUCCUGGUGUAGCGGUGAAAUGCGCAGAUAUCAGGAGGAACACCGGUGGCGAAGGCGGGUCUCUGGGCCGAUACUGACGCUGAGGAGCGAAAGCAUGGGUAGCGAACAGGAUUAGAUACCCUGGUAGUCCAUGCCGUAAACGUUGGGCGCUAGGUGUGGGGUCCAUUCCACGGGGUUCCGUGCCGCAGCUAACG